UCUGGAAAGCCACAGUGGGGUCCUACAGCUAUGACUGGCUGCUGCUCAAGCUCUCUGUCAUCCCACCCUCACACGCUGGGACGCCUGCCUUGCCUUUGAGAGACUCCUCCUGCAGGUCUUGGGGGACUCGGACCUGGCAGAGGUUCUGAAACAGAUUCUUCCCCUCAUAAAGUCUAGUGAGUCUGGAACAGGUUCUGACUCUAGUUCAUGCCCUGGUGAGCUGAGUGUGGAUGAUCUUCUGGUGCUGCUGGUUUAUGUGUACUCUAUGGCCCAGGAAGCAUGUCUGGGAGGUGCUGAGGAGGAAAAACAUGUUGCGAAGGUGGAAAAUGAGUUGAUUGGUGCUUUGACACUCUGACUCACCUGGCAGACCUCAUUAAGCCCUCUGCUGCAGGAGAUCACAGGUCACCCGACCCCACCCAAGUGAUCCAUCCACUCUUGUUUCUCUUCCUGGUGGGUGGAGUCACACCGUCAGAGCUCCGCCUCAUUCAUGAAGUUGUCUCCACCCGUAAGUAAGGCAUUCAGGUACUCCUAAUGUCCACUAGACUGCUGAGACCUUUCGAUGUCCCUUACUUACUCUUCAGCACUGACAGACUCAAACCUAACAUUGGAGUGUGAAGUGACUGGACACACACACUUCUAACUGUUGAAUUGAGUCUUUCCAACAUUGUUUGCCUUUUUCAGUGGUAUCAUGCAUUUAAAAAGGUUUAAGCAAUAUACAGAGCAUGCUUCUGUUAUAAAUACCACAAUAUCCCAUUAAAAUACUAAACAUUCACUUGUUUUUUUCAUGCCGUUGGCAGAUACAGCAUGGUCUCCAGUUCAGUUCUUACAAUCAGCCAUGUGUUGAUUCCCACAGGAGCUUCCCUCUUCAUCCUUCACUCACUUCAGUGCUGUCGGAGAAGUGACAGAUGGGAAGAGGGCAGAGGUCAAAAAGGGGGGCGACGUCCUUUAGUGCAGUGCUUUCUGUUCUGCCUUCACUUUCUCUUACACACAUGUUUUUAAGCCAUCUAUAAAGGGGCAUACUAUAGACCUCUGAUGUUUUUAUAUAACAAAGCUAAGUAUAAAAACUAUUCACCAAAGAUAAAUCUUAUAAUAUAAUAAUAUUUUAAAGUUUGGAAUGAUUAUAAAGAUAAAUUUUUUCAGUAAAGCAUUCCUAUUCCUCAAAGUAUAGCUAAGUAAGCACAUGCUGUGAAAGCAUGAUAUGCAUAUCUCUUAUACUCUUAUGAGAUUUUAGUUUGUGCUUCGAACUUGUCUAGUAUUACCCCAGCACCUGAAAUCAGUUAUAUUCCUCUAAACACCUUUAUCCUUACAUACUGUACAUACAUUUGACUUCUUGAAUGUUUAUUUAGGGUGUUGGUAAUUUAUUGAUUUUACCAUGUGGAAAACAUCAGCAUUAGA